rnacentral:lncRNA from 1 species
CGCUCGGUAAAUAACCUGUUACCUAUUCGUUACCUAUUCGCUUUUAAUGCGCGGGGUAUACGGUGCACCUUGAAAUAAAUCGUUUUUUAAUUGUGUUCAGGUCUCUGGUGGUAAGAAUGUGUUCUUAGAGAUGAAAUGACCCUAUUAGCGCGCAUGUACCCGUUCCAGCGCUCGGUUAAUACCCUGUUACCUAUUCGUUACCUAUUCGUUACCUAUUUACCUAUUCGCUUAUAAUACAUUUUUUUAUACGUUGCACCUGUUAGAAAAGGAUUUUCAAUUAUGUCCAUGUCUCAGGUGGUAACAAUGUGUUCUUAGAGAUGAAAUGACCCUAUUAGCGCGCAUGUACCCGUUCCAGCGCUCGGUAAAUAACCUGUUACCUAUUCGUUACCUAUUCGCUUUUUAAUGCGCGGGGUAUACGCUGCACCUUGAAAUAAAUCGUGUUUUAAUUGUGUUCAUGUCUGGUGGUAACAAUGUGUUCUUAGAGAUGAAAUGACCCCAUUAGAGCGCAUGUACCCGUUCCAGCGCUCGGUAAAUAACCUGUUACCUAUUCGUUACUUAUUCGCUUUUAAUGCGCGGGGUAUACGGUGCACCUUGAAAUAAAUCGUUUUUUAAUUGUGUUCAGGUCUCUGGUGGUAAGAAUGUGUUCUUAGAGAUGAAAUGACCCUAUUAGCGCGCAUGUACCCGUUCCAGCGCUCGGUUAAAUACCCUGUUACCUAUUCGUUACCUAUUCGCUUUUAAUACAUUUUUAUACGUUGCACCUGUUAAAAAAGGAUUUUCAAUUGUGUCCAUGGUCUCAGGUGGUAACAAUGUGUUCUUAGAGAUGAAAUGACCCCAUUAGAGCGCAUGUACCCGUUCCAGCGCUCGGUAAAUAACCUGUUACCUAUUCGUUACCUUAUUCGCUUUUAAUGCGCGGGGUAUACGGUGCACCUUGAAAUAAAUCGUUUUUUAAUUGUGUUCAGGUCUCUGGUGGUAAGAAUGUGUUCUUAGAGAUGAAAUGACCCUAUUUAGCGCGCAUGUACCCGUUCCAGCGCUCGGUUAAUACCCUGUUACCUAUUCGUUACCUAUUCGUUACCUAUUCGCUUAUAAUACAUUUUUUUAUACGUUUCACCUGUUAGAAAAGGAUUUUCAAUUAUGUCCAUGUCUCAGGUGGUAACAAUGUGUUCUUAGAGAUGAAAUGACCCUAUUAGCGCGCAUGUACCCGUUCCAGUGCUCGGUAAAUAAUCUUGUUACCUAUUCGUUACCUAUUCGCUUUUAAUGCGCGGGGUAUACGCUGCAACUUGAAAUAAAUCGUGUUUUAAUUGUGUUCAUGUCUGGUGGUAACAAUGUGUUCUUAGAGAUGAAAUGACCCCAUUAGAGCGCAUGUACCCGUUCCAGCGCUCGGUAAAUAACCUGUUACCUAUUCGUUACUUAUUCGCUUUUAAUGCGCGGGGUAUACGGUGCACCUUGAAAUAAAUCGUUUUUUAAUUGUGUUCAGGUCUCUGGUGGUAAGAAUGUGUUCUUAGAGAUGAAAUGACCCUAUUAGCGCGCAUGUACCCGUUCCAGCGCUCGGUUAAUACCCUGUUACCUAUUCGUUACCUAUUCGUUACUUAUAAUACAUUUUUUUAUACGUUGCACCUGUUAGAAAAGGAUUUUCAAUUAUGUCCAUGUCUCAGGUGGUAACAAUGUGUUCUUAGAGAUGAAAUGACCCUAUUAGCGCGCAUGUACCCGUUCCAGCGCUCGGUAAAUAAUCCUUGUUACCUAUUCGUUACCUAUUCGCUUUUAAUGCGCGGGUAUACGCUGCACCUUGAAAUAAAUCGUGUUUUAAUUGUGUUCAUGUCUGGUGGUAACAAUGUGUUCUUAGAGAUGAAAUGACCCCAUUAGAGCGCAUGUACCCGUUCCAGCGCUCGGUAAAUACCUGUUACCUAUUCGUUACUUAUUCGCUUUUAAUGCGCGGGGUAUACGGUGCACCUUGAAAUAAAUCGUUUUUUAAUUGUGUUCAGGUCUCUGGUGGUAAGAAUGUGUUCUUAGAGAUGAAAUUACCCUAUUAGCGCGCAUGUACCCGUUCCAGCGCUCGGUUAAUACCCUGUUACCUAUUCGUUACCUAUUCGUUACCUAUUCACUUAUAAUACGUUUGUUGUACGUUGCACCUUUUAGAAAAGGAUUUUCAAUUGUGUCCAUGUCUCUGGUGGUAACAAUGUGUUCUUAGAGAUGAAAUUACCCUAUUAGCGCGCAUGUACCCGUUCCAGCGCUCGGUAAAUACCCUGUUACCUAUUCGUUACCUAUUCGUUACCUAUUCACUUAUAAUACGUUUGUUGUACGUUGCACCUUUCAGAAAAGGAUUUUCAAUGGUGUCCAUGUCUCUGGUGGUAACAAUGUGUUCUUAGAGAUGAAAUGACCCUAUUAGCGCGCAUGUACCCGUUCCAGCGCUCGAUAAAUACCCUGUUACCUAUUCGUUACCUAUUCACUUAUAAUACGUUUGUUGUACGUUGCACCUUUUAGAAAAGGAUUUUUAAUUCAGUUCAUAUCUCUGGUGGUAAUAAUGUGUUCUUUUAGAUGAAAUACCCCUAUUAGCGCGUAUGUACUCGUUCCAGCGCUCAGUUAAUACCCUGCUUCUUAUUCGUUCCUUAUUUGCUUUUAAUGCACGAGGUAUACGUUGCACCUUGAAAUAAAUCGUUUUUUUAAUUGUGUUCAUGUCUCUGGUGGUAACAAUGUGUUCUUAGAGAUGAAAUGACCCUAUUAGAGCGCAUGAACCCGUUCCAGCGCUCGUUUAAUACCCUGUUACCUAUUCGUUACCUAUUCGUUACCUAUUCACUUAUAAUACUUUUGUUGUAUGUUGCACCUUUUAGAAAAGGAUUUUUAAUUGUCUCCAUGUCUCUGGUGGUAACAAUGUGUUCUUAGAGAUGAAAUGACCCUAUUAGCGUGCAUGUACCCGUUCCAGCGCUCGAUAAAUACCCUGUUACCUAUUCACUUAUAUUACGUUUGUUGUACGUUGCAUCUUUUAGAAAAGGAUUUUUAAUUCAGUUCAUAUCUCUGGUGGUAAUAAUGUGUUUCUUUAGAUGAAAUUACCCCUAUUAGCGCGUAUGUACUCGUUCCAGCGCUCAGUUAAUACCCUGCUUCUUAUUCGUUCCUUAUUUGCUUUUAAUGCACGAGGUAUACGUUGCACCUUGAAAUAAAUCGUUUUUUAAUUGUGUUCAUGUCUCUGGUGGUAACAAUGUGUUCUUAGAGAUGAAAUGACCCUAUUAGAGCGCAUGAACCCGUUCCAGCGCUCGUUUAAUACCCUGUUACCUAUUCGUUACCUAUUCACUUAUAAUACGUUUGUUGUAUGUUGCACCUUUUAGUAAAGGAUUUUUAAUUGUUUCCAUGUCUCUUGUGGUAACAAUGUGUUCUUAGAGAUGAAAUGACCCCUUUUCUAACAGGUGAAACGUAUAAAAAAAUGUAUUAUAAGCGAAUAGGUAACAGGGUAUUAACCGAGCGCUGGAACGGGUACAUGCGCGCUAAUAGGGUAAUUUCAUCUCUAAGAACACAUUUUUACCACCAGAGACCUG